rnacentral:rRNA from 1 species
UACGGGGGGGGCAAGCGUUGUUCGGAAUUACUGGGCGUAAAGGGCGCGUAGGCGGUUUGCUAAGUUGAAUGUGAAAACUCUGGGCUUAACCCAGAGCCUGCAUUCAAUACUGGCAGGCUAGAGUUCUGGAGGUGAUAGCGGAAUUCCUGGUGUAGCGGUGAAAUGCGUAGAUAUCAGGAGGAACACCUAUUGCGAAGGCAGCUCGCUGGGACGUAACUGACGCUGAGACGCGAAAGCGUGGGGAGCAAACAGG